rnacentral:rRNA from 1 species
GGGGGAUAUUGCGCAAUGGGGGCAACCCUGACGCAGCAACGCCGCGUGAAGGAUGAAGGUUUUCGGAUUGUAAACUUCUUUUAUUAAGGACGAAAAAUGACGGUACUUAAUGAAUAAGCUCCGGCUAACUACGUGCCAGCAGCCGCGGUAAUACGUAGGGAGCAAGCGUUGUCCGGAUUUACUGGGUGUAAAGGGUGCGUAGGCGGCUUUGCAAGUCAGAUGUGAAAUCUAUGGGCUCAACCCAUAAACUGCAUUUGAAACUGUAGAGCUUGAGUGAAGUAGAGGCAGGCGGAAUUCCCCGUGUAGCGGUGAAAUGCGUAGAGAUGGGGAGGAACACCAGUGGCGAAGGCGGCCUGCUGGGCUUUAACUGACGCUGAGGCACGAAAGCGUGGGUAGCAAACAGGAUUAGAUACCCUGGUAGUCCACGCUGUAAACGAUGAUUACUAGGUGUGGGGGGUCUGACCCCUUCCGUGCCGGAGUUAACACAAUAAGUAAUCCACCUGGGGAGUACGGCCGCAAGGUUGAAACUCAAAGGAAUUGACGGGGGCCCGCACAAGCAGUGGAGUAUGUGGUUUAAUUCGAAGCAACGCGAAGAACCUUACCAGGUCUUGACAUCCAACUAACGAAGUAGAGAUACAUUAGGUGCCCUUCGGGGAAAGUUGAGACAGGUGGUGCAUGGUUGUCGUCAGCUCGUGUCGUGAGAUGUUGGGUUAAGUCCCGCAACGAGCGCAACCCUUGCUAUUAGUUGCUACGCAAGAGCACUCUAAUAGGACUGCCGUUGACAAAACGGAGGAAGGUGGGGACGACGUCAAAUCAUCAUGCCCCUUAUGACCUGGGCUACACACGUACUACAAUGGAUGUUAACAGAGGGAAGCAAGACAGCGAUGUGGAGCAAACCCCUAAAAACAUUCUCAGUUCAGAUUGCAGGCUGCAACCCGCCUGCAUGAAGAUGGAAUUGCUAGUAAUCGCGCAUCAGCCACGGCGCGGUGAAUACGUUCCCG